ACAGAAUCCGGCGGGGUCCUCGCAGGGGCGAGCUCCAGCUCCGCGGCGUCACUACCCGGGGCAUUAUCCAGCUCCUCCAGAAGCUGCGGCCGCCGGGCGCCGGGCCGGAGCUGAGGCCUGCUUCCCCAGGCUCGUCCUCGGUCUCGCGUUGCUGACGCAGCCGGCGUAGGGCGCU
ensembl:lncRNA novel transcript